rnacentral:rRNA from 1 species
GAUGAACGCUGGCGGCGUGCCUAAUACAUGCAAGUCGAGCGAAUGGAUUAAGAGCUUGCUCUUAUGAAGUUAGCGGCGGACGGGUGAGUAACACGUGGGUAACCUGCCCAUAAGACUGGGAUAACUCCGGGAAACCGGGGCUAAUACCGGAUAAUAUUUUGAACUGCAUGGUUCAAAAUUGAAAGGCGGCUUCGGCUGUCACUUAUGGAUGGACCCGCGUCGCAUUAGCUAGUUGGUGAGGUAACGGCUCACCAAGGCAACGAUGCGUAGCCGCCCGGAGAGGGUGAGCGGCCACACUGGGAAGGAGACACGGCCCAGACUCCUACGGGAGGCAGCAGUAGGGAAUCUUCCGCAAUGGACGAAAGUCUGACGGAGCAACGCCGCGUGAGUGAUGAAGGCUUUCGGGUCGUAAAACUCUGUUGUUAGGGAAGAACAAGUGCUAGUUGAAUAAGCUGGCACCUUGACGGUACCUAACCAGAAAGCCACGGCUAACUACGUGCCAGCAGCCGCAGUAA